rnacentral:rRNA from 1 species
CUUAACUGUGGAGGGUCAUUUGAAACUGUCUGACUAGAGUACGGUAGAGGUAAGUGGAAUUCAAUGUGUAGCGGUAAAAUGCGUAGAUAUAUUGAGGAACACCAGUGGCGAAGGCGGCUUACUGGACCGGAACUGACACUGAGGCACGAAAGCGUGGGUAGCAAACAGGAUUAGAUACCCUGGUAGUCCACGCCGUAAACGAUGAGAACUAAGUGUUGGGGUUGAACCCAGUGCUGAAGUUAACGCAUUAAGUUCUCCGCCUGGGGAUUACGGCCGCAAGGCUAAAACUCAAAAGAAUUGACGGGUCUCCGCACAAGCGGUGGAGCAUGUUGUUUAAUUCGAAGAUACGCGAAGAACCUCACCAGGUCUUGACAUAUACUUGACGUCCAUGGAAACAUGGAGUCCCUUCGGGGCAG